UCGGGAAUAUUGGGCAAUGGGCGCAAGCCUGACCCAGCGACGCCGCGUGAGGGAUGAAGGCCUUCGGGUCGUAAACCUCUGUCGGGAGGGAAGAAUGGCGGUGAGGCGAAUAGUCUCGCUGUCUGACGGUACCUCCAAAGGAAGCGCCGGCUAACUCCGUGCCAGCAGCCGCGGUAAUACGGAGGGCGCAAGCGUUGUUCGGAAUCACUGGGCGUAAAGCGCGUGUAGGCGGCCGGGCAAGUCGGAUGUGAAAUCCCGAGGCUCAACCUCGGAACUGCAUUCGAAACUGCCCGGCUCGAGUCCCCGGAGAGGAUGGCAGAAUUCCCGGUGUAGGGGUGAAAUCCGUAGAUAUCGGGAGGAAUACCAGUGGCGAAGGCGGCCAUCUGGACGGUGACUGACGCUGAGACGCGAAAGCGUGGGGGAGCGAAACAGGAUUAGAUACCCUGGUAGGUCACGCCGUAAACGGUACGAGUAGCUACGACGUACG
rnacentral:rRNA from 1 species